AACGAACGCUGGCGGCAUGCCUAACACAUGCAAGUCGAACGAAGCCUUCGGGCUUAGUGGCGCACGGGUGCGUAACGCGUGGGAAUCUGCCCUUUGGUUCGGAAUAACAGUUGGAAACGACUGCUAAUACCGGAUGAUGACGAAAGUCCAAAGAUUUAUCGCCAGAGGAUGAGCCCGCGUAGGAUUAGCUAGUUGGUGUGGUAAAGGCGCACCAAGGCGACGAUCCUUAGCUGGUCUGAGAGGAUGAUCAGCCACACUGGGACUGAGACACGGCCCAGACUCCUACGGGAGGCAGCAGUGGGGAAUAUUGGACAAUGGGCGAAAGCCUGAUCCAGCAAUGCCGCGUGAGUGAUGAAGGCCCUAGGGUUGUAAAGCUCUUUUACCCGGGAUGAUAAUGACAGUACCGGGAGAAUAAGCCCCGGCUAACUCCGUGCCAGCCGCCGCGGUAA
rnacentral:rRNA from 1 species